UACGUAGGCAGCGAGCGUUGUUCGGAAUUACUGGGCGUAAAGAGUGUGUAGGCGGUGCUCCCAGUCUGUUGUGAAAUCUCCCGGCUUAACUGGGAGGGUGCAGCGGAAACUAGAGUGCUAGAGGGUGGGAGAGGUAAGCGGAAUUCCUGGUGUAGCGGUGAAAUGCGUAGAUAUCAGGAGGAACACCUGUGGCGAAAAGCGGCUCACUGGACCAUAACUGACGCUGAUGCACGAAAAGCUAGGGGGAGCAAAACAGGG
rnacentral:rRNA from 1 species